AAGUCAAAAAAUCUCUAGUACCGUAAAAAAGGAACAAAGAGGUAUGAUGAUAGAAGGAGAACUAGACACCUAACUUCAAAGGUUUAAACCUACUUUCUCAAAAAUAUCAUACCCAAACAUAAACCAAGUUACUACCUGAAAAGACCUCUAAUGUGUGUUCAGAUUUCUGUGAUAAACUAUAUUAGAACACGAUCAAAUUAAGCAUAAUUGAUUUUUCAUGUUGAUUGAGAGAUCACCGUAUCCAUUGAGUGAGUCA
rnacentral:lncRNA from 1 species